rnacentral:rRNA from 1 species
UACGGAGGGGACUAGCGUUGUUCGGAAUUACUGGGCGUAAAGCGCGCGUAGGCGGAUUUGUAAGUCGGGGGUGAAAUCCCGGGGCUCAACCUCGGAACUGCCUUCGAUACUGCAAAUCUCGAGUCCGGAAGAGGUGAGUGGAAUUCCUAGUGUAGAGGUGAAAUUCGUAGAUAUCAGGAGGAACACCGGUGGCGAAGGCGACUUCCUGGACCAAUACUGACGCUGAGGCGCGAAGGCGUGGGGAGCAAACAGG